rnacentral:rRNA from 1 species
UACAGAGGUCUCAAGCGUUGUUCGGAUUCAUUGGGCGUAAAGGGUGCGUAGGCGGCGCGGUAAGUCGGGUGUGAAAUCUCGGAGCUUAACUCCGAAACUGCAUUCGAUACUACCGUGCUUGAGGACUGGAGAGGAGACUGGAAUUUACGGUGUAGCGGUGAAAUGCGUAGAUAUCGAUAAGGAAGACCAGUGGCGAAGGCGGGUCUCGUGGACAGUUCCUGACGCUGAGGCACGAAGGCCAGGGGAGCAAACGGG